AUUGAACGCUGGCGGCAGGCCUAACACAUGCAAGUCGAACGAGUGGCGGACGGGUGAGUAAUGUCUGGGAAACUGCCUGAUGGAGGGGGCUAACUACUGGACACGGUAGCUAAUACCGCAUACCAUCGGAUGUGCCCAGAUGGGAUUAGCUAGUAGGUGGGGUAACGGCUAACCUAGGAGACGAUCCCUAGCUGGUCUGAGAGGAUGACCAGCCACACGGGAACUGAGACACGGUCCAGACUCCUACGGGAGGCAGCAGUGGGGAAUAUUGCACAAUGGGCGCAAGCCGGAUGCAGGCAUGACGCGUGUAUGAAGAAGGCCUUCGGGUGGUAAAGUACUGUCAGCGGGGAGGCGUUACCCGCAGAAGAAGCACCGGCUAACUCCGUGCCAGCAGCCGCGGUAAUUC
rnacentral:rRNA from 1 species